GACGAACGCUGGCGGCGUGCUUAACACAUGCAAGUCGUACGGUAAGGCCCUUUCGGGGGUACACGAGUGGCGAACGGGUGAGUAACACGUGAGUAACCUGCCCACAACUUUGGGAUAACGCUAGGAAACUGGUGCUAAUACUGGAUAUGUGCUCCUGCUGCAUGGUGGGGGUUGGAAAGCUCCGGCGGUUGUGGAUGGACUCGCGGCCUAUCAGCUUGUUGGUGGGGUAGUGGCCUACCAAGGCGGCGACGGGUAGCCGGCCUGAGAGGGUGACCGGCCACAUUGGGACUGAGAUACGGCCCAGACUCCUACGGGAGGCAGCAGUGGGGAAGAUUGCACAAUGGGCGCAAGCCUGAUGCAGCAACGCCGCGUGCGGGAUGACGGACUUCGGGUUGUAAACCGCUUUCAGCAGGGACGAAGCUUUUUGUGACGGUACCUGCAGAAGAAGCACCGGCUAACUACGUG
rnacentral:rRNA from 1 species